GGGACACGGCAAGCACGGAUUCAUUGGUCGGUACACUUAUGCUGGUUGCUUAUUUGUGCUAAAACCACUUUAUUACGCUUCAACACCUCGCGUUGUUUAUCUUGGGGUGAAGUGACGUGUUUGCGAGCUGAGAUGUAAGACCACAAGCUAGGUCUUGGUCGUGAACCAUGAGGAACAAGUAUACAUCGAAACGGGAGCCGGAUUCUGCUGCGACUGAGGAUGGCAAUACCGGCAUGAAGUAAAGAGGACGGCACCAGUGUAAAGCAACACACUACACACACUAAAGAGAAGCUACUGCCUGCUACAACCAGGUCAUCGUGUGUACUUUUGCUGCUACUACAAGAGUCUGCACCAAGCACAUCUUGGCACUCAUCACAGGAGCCCUCAUAUAUCUACACCAACAGGAAGGGGCUGGAGCCGAACUCACAAGGCUCUUACACCACGAACAAAGAAGCGGAUCCAGAAGUAUUUGGAUGAGAUACCAAGUCUACGUAGGACUGUAUCAAGACUGAAAAGCGCCUCAGCCAUCAUUACACCAGCACGCAUAUUGGCAGAGUCAUCCAGGUACCUCAACAAAAGAAAUUCUUCGUGUUCAGAUGCGCCUGCAACCUCUGAACAAGCAUGGACGAUGCUGGCCAAAAGAGUUCUAUCAGUUGGCCCUUUCUUAAAAGCUUCCUGGCCUUGUCAAAUUCAAUUUGUGCCAAGUAUAAAUUUUUUCUAUGAAUGCAAGCUUUUUCAUUCCCCAUUCUUGCUAGAUAUCAUUCUUCCUUAUCCAAACAUAAAGGUGAACUGAUUCUUUGCUCAUACUUAAGGCCCGUCAUUGUCUAUUAGCAUAACAUCUUUGUAGCAGUAUUCUCUACUGUACGUUGCCAUGUUAAAUUCCUCUCCUGAAAUAGCAGAUGCGGCAUCAGCAUGUGUCUUGCAUUAAGCUUUGCACCGUGUGCUAUGUAGCAUUUCACUUUUAUUAAUGUUAUUGGCCUUCACUGCUUGCAGAGCAGAGUGGCUUGCUGAAUGCAAGCUUUCUCAUUCCCAUAUUUCAUUCUUGGUCUCGUUCAA